GACGUAGGGGGCCAGCGUUGUCCGGAUUUAUUGGGUUUAAAGGGCGCGUAGGCGUCGAUCACGUCCGGGGUGAAAGCUUUCGGCUCAACCGGAAAAGUGCCUUGGAUACGGAUCGACUUGAGGGAGGUAGAGGCAGGUGGAACUUCCAGUGGAGCGGUGAAAUGCGUUGAUAUUGGAAGGAACGCCGGUGGCGAAAGCGACCUGCUGGAUCUCUUCUGACGCUGAGGCGCGAAAGCUAGGGGAGC
rnacentral:rRNA from 1 species